UUUCUCUCCAUCAUUUUUAUUUCCCAAUCUUUACUCAAAUCAACAUCAAAACUAUUCACUCAAAAAGCUCCAAAAUUCCCACCGUAUAAUACUCCAAUUGAAGAAUAAAAGAAGCUGAAUCUUUCAAGUGGGUGUAUGCUCUUGGUUAGUGUUUUGGGUGUUAGGGAUUUUGCUCUAAGAGAGGAGAAGAUUACCCACCCCAUAAAGAGUAUUCACUUGAGCUCAAAGAGGUAUAUUCACAACCCAAAAAAAUUAUAAAGAAUGGUAUUCUAGUCUAUGUUAAUUUUGGGUAAAUUAAUUUUAGGAAUUUGAGCCCACAAUUAGGGAUUUCAUGGUUGCUUUUGGAUAAUAGAUAGCUAAAUUAAGUUCCUAAGGAGUUGAAAUUUGUUGUUGAUGUUCAGACUUGCCGACCACUGACUCAUCCGGACAUCUUGAAGUUGUUGGGAGCUCUUCUCUCGAUCCUUCAUAGUUGUGAGUGGUUUAUGACCAUUGUAGCAUAUUUUUAAUUACUCUAUGUUUAUGGUUUUGACUAUUUUAUUAUAACUUGAAGUAUCUAUUUAUUUAGAAUUGGGGGAAACAUCCUUUCAUUCGCAAUACUAUCUUUUAUUGAGUAUUUAAGGAUAGGCAAUCAAAAAUGAAUAAUGAAUUUGAGAAUGAUUUUAGUUUGUUUUAAGCUAUGAAGUUACAAACUUUAUGUAUUGAAUCAUGUUGAACUGAGAAUUACAUCUUGAUGAGCUUUGAUAAUCAUUGAGAACAUUCAUAUUUGAAACUUUGAUAUGAGAUUGCUUAUGGUUUUGAAAAGAUGGUUGUGGGAAUAUACAUGUUAGAACCCCGUAGCCGUUAACGGAGGUAACGGCCUAGGUGCACCUAGUUAUUUGAUUCCGGGUGGAGAGGGCUAUCCGUUAGAUGGAGCCGCCAGUGCACGGAAAGGGCUAUCAACGAGAUGUAGCUUCCCCCGAUGAGAUUGAUGAGAUAUGACAUGAUUCCGGGUGGAGAGGGCUAUCUGUUAGAUGGAGCCGCCUCUUGGAUACGAUAAUCCUUAAGAGGAAAGGGCUAUCAACGAGAUGUAGCUUCCCCCGAUGACACGAUGUGACUUGAGAAAGGAAAGGGCUAUCCGUUAGAUGGAGCCGCCCCUAGGGGAAAGGCCACCCCGUAGGAGGAAAGGGCUAUCAACGAGAUGGAGCCGCCUUAUGAUUAUGGUUCUCAAAUGUGUGUUCCCUAUUGUAUUUGGAUUAUCGGAUUUUGAGUGAUUUUAUAAAUUGAAAAUGCUUUAACCGCAUUAUGAUUCUUUAAGUUUUCUCUAUGUCAAAGUGAUAUUAAUUUGAGUUAGUAAAGCAUGAAGCUUUUACCAUACCAUAUAUGUUUUAUGAAAGUGAUUUGAGUUACUUGACUUGAUCAAAUGUCAUAUUUAUCCUGAGUUUUAAAGAGAAAAUCGUGCCUAUGAUGUUCCCCUUCUAGUUCAUGGUGGUUUAUAGGCCCUCACUAAGUCUUUGUGACUUACCCCCUCCUUAUUUCCAUUUCAGAUUCACAGGUAGCUGAGUAGGAGGUUGCGUCAGUUGCAGCUUGUACAGUUACUUCUUUUUGGUAGGCCUCCUACUGUUGGUGGCCAUGUUGAUGUCUUUUGUUAAUCUUUUUGGUAUUCUGCAGCUGUAGGGAAUAUGUAAUAGUUAUAUUUUGUAAAGUGUAAAAGUUAUACGAUGUAUUUGAUGAUGUUACUUCUUGGAUAAUGGAUAUGUGUAGAUUUGGAUCUCUGGCUGAAUGAUAUACCUCUUUAGCAG
rnacentral:lncRNA from 1 species